rnacentral:pre_miRNA from 9 species
UCUCGAUAGCGUAAAAGUUAACUCAAAUCUGUAUGGAGUUUGGAGCGUUUGCCUACGUUUGCCGCUAGAGGUGCUGUUCCAACUGCAGACAAAUUUAUGUUAAGUAACUUUUACGCUAUCGA